AUCCCAUCGGGGCCCUUGGCCUGGGGACCCCCCGCCCCGGCUUUGUGUGGUGGCCUCGUCACCGGCGCUGCCCCCCGCACGUCACAAAUCCGGGGAGAGGCCGGCCGGCCCGUCGCCCCGGCCUGCGAGAGUGUGCCUCCCCGGGAGCCGGCCUUGCUGGGACGCGCGGCCCUGCGCGCCACCUCCGCCCGGCUCCGGGUUCCCGGGGAUACUCGCGCUGGAGACGCGGAGCGCAAUAGGCCGUUCGGAGUUCGUCGACUCUCUGGGUGUCUACACUCUGAGAGACUUUUCAUUUUCUUUUUUAACAGCGGAGUUCCUCUUUCCAACCUGAUUACCUCGCACGACCUCGUUGGCCUGUCCUCUGCGGACUCCCGUUACCCUGGAGUUCUUAAAGGCGUUAAGCUGUUUUCCAGCUUGGUUGCAGGACUCUGGGAAACUAACUGAAGAAUUGCUGCUUUUUUCUUUGACUCAUGCACCAAGAUUUGUUGCAUUCACAAAAGGAUAAGAGAGCAACCAGGAUCAUGUCUGCUCCAGGAUCAACUCCUGCGUGCUGUCUAUAGGUAUUAACCUAUCCCUGAGGUCUCCAUCACAUGUUCCCUUUUUUGGCUUGAACAACUGAAUCAGAGCACAGUCUAUUUUUUCAGGAAAGACAGAGGAUAGCCUCCAAAAGAGCCGGACAACUCUAUAGCUUUUCUAAACCCCUUCGGUUCCCUGUGCACUUGAAGGCCUUUUUAG
rnacentral:lncRNA from 1 species